GUAAGCUGAUGAGUCCCGAAUAGGACGAAACGCGUGUCCUGGAU
rnacentral:hammerhead_ribozyme from 1 species